AAAUAAGGUAGUUUAUGAAAAUAUAAGAUUGUCAAUCUUAAGAUGUCUAGAAGACGCUUAUUUA
rnacentral:tRNA from 1 species